GCGCAGGGGCACGGGCGGGGCCAGAGCCCCGGGGGCGGGCACAGCCGGGCGGGGGCGGGGCCAGCGCUCGGAGGCGGGUUUAGCAGCGAGGGGCCGGACCAGCUGAACUCUGGCAAUGCCUGGCGCCUUCUGACAGAACCUUCUUAGUUCCAUGCUCAGAGAAGACAAGCUCCACAGGAGAAUAUGUGAUUUGCUGGUCCUGUCUCAAUCUGCAUGACCCCUGUCCCAAUGUUUCUGAAGAUUGACUGUCGAGCAUGCUCAUUGAUGAAAGUGUGAAGAAGAUUAAAGUAACACCUAAAAGCUCCAAUCAGGACCAGGACCCCUUUGCUAGUAUCGGACAAGGUCAAGAAGAGCAUUUCUGCCCCAAAGAUCUUGCAGUCAGAUUCAGCACUAGACAUGACAUGCGAGGAUAAUGAACAAUAGGAGAGAAGGGGUUUGGCAGAGGUGGCAUGAUGGAAGGUAGAUGAGGAAUAUGAGCUCCUCCACCAAAGACAGCAGACCACAUUUUGUCGUUAAAAGGAUGGGCCAUAAUUCUAUACAAUUCACUGCUGGAAUGAGUUGCUAGACCAUGAAUGAAGAGACUAAGAUAGACUGCUGUUAGAAUUUCACAAAGUAAAACGGUGACUCACAAGCAGUUUCAAUGGAGGUGCGCUUCGAGUUCACCGUCUAGUGGCUUGCAGUACUGCUCUACCGAAGCCAGCAUCGUCCAGGGCCUGCUGGGUAAUUGCAUAAUGGCACGUGAAUGUGUGGCCAGACUAUCAGGUGGCCGCCCUACAGAUGUCCUGGAUAGGCACUUGGGCUAGGAAAGCUGCGAAAGAGGCUUGUGCCCUGGUUGAGUGGGCGGUCACAAAUCGCCUGAGGUGGCACCUGUGCCCGAUUGUAGCAGCAGCGAAUGCAGGCAGUACAAGAUUAUCUGCAUCGAGGCCUACUCGGGCCAAAUGCCUUUAUCCGAGAUCCAACAAGUGAACCACUUCCAUUUGGCCAGUAGGUGCCCAGCCGGGGAGUCCCCCAGGACCUAGAACGUGGAGGUGGAGGAAGCAGAGGGCAGAAUGGCUUCCUGACCUGCUAAGGAAUAUGGAGGCCCAAGGAGCGGAGAGUGGCAUGGGAAUCUUUAAUGCCACCGAGUCUCAAGUCCGUGAGCUCGGAGAAGAGCCCCGUCCCCUAAAAUGGGAGAUCCUGUAUAGUGGCCUGCAUCUCCUGGGAUAACCCAGAGGACUGCAACCAGGAGCUGUGCCUCAAGGCCACCGCAGAGACGACCACACUGGCUGUUGAGUCAGUUGCGUCCCAGGCCAUCUGAAGGGCCCUCCUUGCCACUGCUGUGCCUUCAUCCACCAAAGCGGUGAACUCCUGGGCUCAGUCCUGUGGGAGGGCCUCAUUGAAUUUGCCACGGAAGUUCCACAGGUUAAAAUUGUACCAGCCUAACAGAGCCUCGUGGUUAGAUACCCAAAAUUGCAGGCUGGCUGUU